rnacentral:siRNA from 1 species
CCAGGGAUCAGCGGAUGUUGC